rnacentral:lncRNA from 1 species
GAACUCAAUGGGUUGGUUUCAUCAUCAUCAUAAGGCUUCAACACCACUUCAAUCGCUAAGUCCUUUAAAUUAGGAAUUCUUUUGAGAACUUCCAUUGUACAACUGUUUACACUCACACCAUAAAGUCUAAGGAGCUUGUUCAAGGUAACAUCAUCUGUGUUAGGGGUUGGUAGGUCCCUUCCCCAUAUCUCAAGAUGCUCUAAUUCUUCAAUAUCCCAAAUUUGCACAGGCACAAAAGACUGAACUCCGCGCUUUUUAAUGAUCAUAUGUUCAUGAAUAAUCAAGAAUUGAAGGUUAAAAAGGUUGGAUAUGGAAGGUGGGAGGUCCCCGUUGCAAGUUAGGGCAAGGUACCGCAGACAAACAAGUUUCAAAAUUUCAAUUGGGAUAUGGUAAAAUCGGACUUGAAAAGCAACAAGUACAUUGAGCAACUUGAAACCCAUGGCAUGUAUUGGGACUGGAUAUUGGUGAUAAGGACCGAAACAAAGGAGAGAACGAACAGUGGAUGCACAAUCACUUCUUAUCGAAUCACACACUUGUUUGAAGCAAAAUAAACUAUUCCAAUGGGCACACAAGCGACGCUGGCCUUUUAUAACGUCAUCACAACUUUGUAAGACAUGCAAAAACUUGAUCCUACUAGCUUCUACUCUACACACGUGCUGCCAACAAGAAUGCACACGAUAGUUUCUAUCCCAAAACACAUGUUCAUCCCCCUGUGAUGUAUCGAGAAGAAGAUGAUAAAACAUCGAAAGCUUUUCCAAACAUGUCUUAAAAAAAUGAUCAAAACUUUCUUCUCCACUCGGUUGAAGAAACACAUCAGCACUCAACAUAACAUUGAGCAUGGUUAUAUGGAUAUCCAAAUAUGGAGGGAAAUCCCCCAUAUAGAGAAAAAGCAUUUUUAACUGCUGGGAUAAAUAGUCAUAGCUUGGGAAAAGUACCUCUGAUAUUUGAUUAUAUGCAUCCACAAACACUGAACUAUGUUGUUUGAUGAGUAUCUCAGUCCAGUAUUCUGGGGUCUUGUCGGCUUCUGAUAGGAGCUUUGCAACCGUGACUAUCAUAAGAGGAAGACCUUCACAUUUCUUGGCAAUCUUCUCUCCAAGUUUCUCAAGUUGAAAAGGAAAACCCUCUUCACCAAACACUUUCUCACCAAGUAAUUCCUUACUUUCUUCGACAUUCAACAAGCGCACUUUUUGAUACCCACCCGUCGUGGAUACUAAAUUUAUUCUACUUGUAAGUAAGACUUGAAUCUUUCCACCUAUAUUCUCUUCUAGCAACCAAUUUGUCAAGCGAUCUGCUGCUUGUAUCUCCCAAACAUCAUCCAACACGAUGAGACAUCUCUCAUCCUUCAACUUUUCUUUCAAUUGUUCAACUAAUUUCUCCUCAUCAUCAUCUCCUUGGGUAAGCAGUUCGUAAGCGUUGGGAUCCACUUGAGCUCGAACGCAUCGUAAUAGUUCUUUAGAUUCACAUUUUCUGCCCACUUUCACCCAUGCUCGAAACUCAAAAUGGCUCCGAAUUGAUGGAUCUUCAAAAAUAUGCUUAGCAAGAGUUGUCUUUCCAACGCCCGCCAUCCCAAUAAUCGUAUAGCUUUUAUCUGCAAGAAGAACAUCUCUGGCUUUUUGAAAUUCAUAGAUAAUCCAACCAUCUUUGAUUGAUCCACCAAAAUCAAUUCUUGAGGAAAUAGGCCGCCUUCUUCUUCAGCCAUAUUCUCCAUUUCAUAGUGUAUUCCUCCUCCAUCACUUUAUCUUCUCGACGAAGCAAUCAACAUGGUGUUGCAGACUCUGCAGCUCUACAGGGAAUGACAAGCUGUCUCUCUGGCUUUCGAGUUGUGGAAGAAUCUGAUGUACGACAUGGGAUUCGAGUAAAUCUUCAAACUCCCAAACUACCUCUUUGAUUCGUUCAUCCACAGCAUUCACCUUCAUCCUGAUCUUGCUGCAGCUGGUGUCGUCCAAUUUUAGCAGAAUUCUCUGCAAGCGAUCCAUCUCUUUGUAGACAGGUUGUAAGAUGUGUGGAGAAAUGAGUGGAAUGCGAAACGAUUGUAGAAUACGGUGAAUCGUAUUCUUGAGAGAAGUGGCUGCACCAUAAGCCGCCUUACCCAAAUCAUCUGAGAAUACGAUUUGUGGAGAGGGGGAAGCUAUCAAAACGCAAAAAAAAACCGCAUUCUUGAGAAAAGUCGCUGCACCAUGAGCUGAGAAUACGAUUUGUGGAGAGGGCGAAACAAGGGAAAUGCGAGAUGAUUGUAGAAUACGGUGAAUCGUAUUCUUGAGAGAAGCUGCCGCAGCAAAAGCCGCCAUAUCCAAAUAAUCUGCUGAUCGUUGAAAUAAAAUUGCUUCCACAAACUUAGCUCAAAAAUUUUCCUCCAAAACUGUGCGGUAGAAAUCGCCUAAGAAAGAAACGGAGAAGAAGAAGAAGAAUUAUACUAAUAAGCAAAUGGAGAUGAAACAAAUUAAUGAUACAUCUUUAGCUCUCUGCUGUACCUCUCGUUGGCGCAAGUCGGCGGCGGCGGCAGCUCGUUUUGAUACUGUGAGUCUUAUUUGGCCCAAACCAUCACACCAAAGCCCCUCCUGACAGGCCCAUUCCUUGCCUUCUUAAGCUUCGUUGCCCUAAUUGCUAAGUGAUGGAAAAUGAGCAAAGAAGAGGCAGCUUGAGUUCAAAAUUGGGUGAACCUAUUUCUCUCAGUGAGAUAGAGUGAGAGAUGUGUAUGAUGCAAUGGUAAAAUGGAUGUAUUGAUGAUUUUCAAGGCAAAUUAAGGUGUGGAAGAAUAAUUAUAGGAGCGACAAACAAAUUAAGCAACGGAAGAUUAAUUAUGAAGAAGAUUGAGCAAUAUUCAAGCAGUUGAACAGUUGAUCAAACGUGUUACGAUUGGAUUCAUUCCUUUAGCUGUAUUGAUAUGAUAAGAUAAGAUAAGAUUGAGUCCCUUACUACGACGCCAUAAAUACAAGUCGUGCUUUGCUUUUGCAUGGGGAAUUAGGGCCACUCAUUUCAAUAUUAAACCUACUUUACAUAAAUAUAUUUCAACUCUAUUUUUUUAUAGCAGAAAGAGCGACGUUGUACAUCUUAUUUUAUUUGAUAAGAUAAAAAUAUAUAAAUAUAGUAUCUAUUAUAUUUAAUUUUCAAUUUUAACAAUUUUGAUCUAUUUGAUUCUACAACUAUAAUAAACUCUUUUUAAAAUAAUAAUCAAUAAAUUAAUAAACUCUAUAAAUUAAUAAAUUAAUAAAUUACUUAUGUUCUAACUUGGGUCAAUUCAAAAAAUCAUCAAUUUUAAUAAAACUUUCUCCGUCCGCCAAAAAGUAUGCCACUUUUGCAUUUUUAGCGUCCGUGAAUAGUAUGUUACUUCAUUUUUAGGUACAUUUUUUUAUCAUUUAUUUUAAAAUACCUUAUUAUUUACAAAAAUAAAUAAAUAAAUAAAAAAAUCAGCCUGUAUUCAAUCACAACCACUCAUAUCAUACAAUGGUGGGACAAUUUUUCUCCACUACAUAAAAAUCACCAAUCAUUUUAUUAAAAUCGGUGUCAACCAAAGUGACAUACUUUUUGUGGAUGAAAGGAGUAAUAAUAUUUUUUAGAGAACCCUUUGUAAACAUAUAGGUCCUGUUAAUAUUAUAAAUUAAUAACUUUUAAAAUAUUACAAUUAUGUAUAUUAUGGUAACUUGUUAAAAAUAAACCUAUUGUUGAAUCAUCUUAAUUAACUAAAUUAUUGGGCUGCCAACUUAAUUAACUAAUAUACUUUCUGCUUAAUUAUCCUUAUACAAUUGUGAUUGUCUGCUUAUACUUAAUUUUUGGGCUUAGGAUUUUGAGUUCGGCCCAUGUUUUUCCUUUUCUUUAGAAUUCUUUUUGGGCUUUUGGCACUUCGACCUUUUGUUAUUUGGAUCCUUUCUCGCCCCAUCUUUUUUUCUAUUUAAAGAAAAAAAAANUAUUAGCUUCUAAAUAAAUUCAAACUUGUAUAAUAAAAAACAAAUUGAACUGAAUUGCUUACCAAAUAUUAUAACAUUUGAAAACUGUUUGAUUGAAGGGGAAGAAUGGCAGGAGAAAAAAGAUGGUGAAAGAAAUAUGGUUCAAAGAAAAUUUGCGUGAAAGUAUAUUAUUUAUAAGUGAAUUGUGUAACUGUUGAAGACGUGUGUAAUUUAAAUAAAUUGACUGCUUUAUUUAUUUAUAUCUUUUAAGUUGGUCAUUGUUGUGGGUUGGUGGGAUACAUAUGUGAGUUAAAACUACCGUGACAUGAUGUGAGUUAAAUUUGCCGUUAAAUAAUUAUUAAGAUUUUGUUAAAAAUUUGGCGCUAAAUAUUUUUCUGUUAAACUGCUUCUUUAUAUGAGAUGGAAAUAUGAUAUAUUCAUUCAGAUUAAUUGCAGCAAACUCAUCUCUUCCACCAAUCUGUAAUCAACAUGCACUAUAAACACAGAUUAAGCAGUAUAGAAUAAUUCUUGCUUGCAAACUAAAACAUUCACAAACUAAGAACACAUAAAAUUCAUGCACAAAGCGAAAAUUAUGCAUAACACAGAAAAAUUACAGUCCUUGAAUAAGAGACUAAUGUUUUCACACAAAUCCAACUUACAACAAUUUUUGCUACAAACACAUUCAGCACUCAGUUUCAUAUAUAAUUCUCAACAAAUCACAAUCCUUAAAUCCAUACAACAAUGUGGUAAUACAACAAUUGAAUUCAAAUCAUGGGAUGACGCGGCGUCUGAUCCCUUCGGCUCUCUCAUUUGCCUGAAAAUUUAAAUAUAACAAAAACACAUCAAAAUUUAAAUAAAGCCUAUUGUGAUUUGUUGUGAGACAGAUCGAUAGACAUAGUAAUGGCAUAGGAAGCCAAAAUUGAUCUCAAAUGCAAAAAUAGAGUAAUGGCCAUAUGUAAUAAACAAGCUAGACAUUUUGCUAAUAUGAAUAUCAAUCUCUGAUAAAUGAAACAGAAAUAAGUUAACUCAACUGCUCUGCUCUGAUUCUAACACCUUGUUUGAUCCUCAUAUCAAAAUUUAUCUAUACAGCUGGUUUCUUGCUUUUGAGUCUUAACCAACUAAUUCCUAGUUGAUUUUGAAAUAUGGAGCCAGAAAUUAAUUAUUAUACUGCCGGAAUUUGAGAUUUUUAAGAUAUUUAAAAAACACAUCAACUGAUUACACACAAUUCAAACAAAUGAAAAUCAUGCAUAACAAGUAAUGCUUUCACACAAAUCCAACUUACAACAAUUUCGGUUACAAACUACAUACACAAUUCAUCACUCAGGUUUCAUAGUCCUCAACAAAAUCCAAAGCAAGUCACAAUCCUUAAAUUCAUACGAUAAUGUGGUAAUACAACAAUUGAUAGAGAUGUGACUAUAACAGAAGAUAUAUAUUUAUGACAUGAAUUGAUUUGGUUUGUCUGUGAAAAAAGAGAAGAAGCAGGGAAGAAACAUUAAGACGUGAUAUAUAUUGCAAAGUAGUGAGACUACCUGUCAGGCAAGUUGCAAAGUCACUUGAGCUCAAAAACGAAGAAUAGACCAUAAGUUUAUAGGCAAACUUAUGCUUUAAUUGAUGGGCACAAGCGAAAGCUAAAGGAUUGCACUCCACUAAUUCAAUGGUCGUGAUCGAAGACUGAUCAUCCGACAAAUCAAGUUGUUGCAAUUUGUAGCAGUGCUUCAUGAUUAGUCUACGAAGCCUCGGGAGGCUUCCACGUUGAGGUCUCCAUUGCACCAAAUCGGUGUCUUCAAUUCGAAGUUCAAUAAGAUUCAAAAAACUCCCCGGUUUUAUUUCCCACUCUGGGCCUCGAAAGGCAUAGCAUUUUAAUAUGAGAAGCUCGAGUUUUGGAAGCAGCGAACCAAUGUCAUUUAGAGACCCCCAAGGAUAUCCAACGCCACUCAAUUCUAAAACAGAGAGACUUGAUGGGAACACUGAAAGAUGAAUAAUAGUAGGAAACUCACGCUUUAUCUCGGGAUUCCUGAUUCUAUAUAUAAGUGAUCGCAAAUUCUGAAUUUCUGAUAUAUAACUCAAAGAACUCAAUGGGUUGGUUUCAUCAUCAUCAUAAGGCUUCAACUCCCCUUCAAUUCCUAAUAUUUGUAAAUUAGGAAUUCUUUUGACAACUUCCCAUGUACAACUGUUUGCACUCACACCAUAAAGUCUAAGGAGCUUGUUCAAGGUAACAUCAUCAGUGUUAGGGGUUGGUAGGUCCCUUCCCCAUAUCUCAAGAUGCUCUAAAUCUUCAAUAUCCCAAAUUUGCACAGGCAAAAAAGACUGAACUCCACGCUUUUUAAUUAUCAUAUGCCUUUCAAUAAUCAAGAAUUGAAG